rnacentral:rRNA from 1 species
GCGGAAAGGUUGUAUUUAUUAGAUAACAAACCUCUAUCCUCACGGAUAAAGUGAUGAUUCAUAGUAACUGAUCGGAGCGCGACGCUGUUGCGCUAAAUCAUUCAAGUUUCUGCCCUAUCAGCUUUCGAUGGUAGUGUAUUGGACUACCAUGGCAGUCACGGGUAACGGGGAAUUAGGGUUCGAUUCCGGAGAGGGAGCCUGAGAAACGGCUACCACAUCUAAGGAAGGCAGCAGGCGCGUAAAUUACCCAAUCCUGAUUCAGGGAGGUAGUGACAAGAAAUAACAACCUGGAGUCUCACGACUUGCGGGAUUGCAAUGAGAACAAUUUAAACCUCUUAACAAGGAACAAUUGGAGGGCAAGUCUGGUGCCAGCAGCCGCGGUAAUUCCAGCUCCAAUAGCGUAUAUUAAAGUUGUUGCAGUUAAAAAGCUCGUAGUUGAACUUCUGGGCGUUCGGAGCGGGGUCAAACCAGCUCAUGGGCGUUCAUCCGUCUGAGAACCAUAUUCGACCUUCACUGUUCGGUAUGGGAAUCAGGCACUUUACUUUGAAAAAAUUAGAGUGUUCCAGGCAGACAUUUGUCUUGAAUACACAAGCAUGGAAUAAUGGAAUAGGACUAAUAUCCAUUUUAUUGGUAUAUUGGAGUUAGUAAUGAUUAACAGGGACAGUUGGGGGCAUUAGUAUUUAAUUGUCAGAGGUGAAAUUCUUGGAUUUAUUAAAGACUAACUUAUGCGAAAGCAUUUGCCAAGGAUGUUUUCAUUAAUCAAGAACGAAAGUUAGGGGAUCAAAGACGAUCAGAUACCGUCCUAGUCUUAACCAUAAACUAUUCCGACUAGGGAUUGGUCGGGUCUUUUAAGCCCGAUCAGCACCUUAUGAGAAAUCAAAGUCUUUGGGUUCCGGGGGGAGUAUGGUCGCAAGGCUGAAACUUAAAGGAAUUGACGGAAGGGCACCACCAGGAGUGGAGCCUGCGGCUUAAUUUGACUCAACACGGGGAAACUCACCAGCGC